AGAAGAACCUCCCAGAGAAACGGAAAAUGUAAUUGUAAUGGAAAAAGGGAUAGUCUCCUCACGAAGCGUCGCAUGCGUCAGCAGCAGCAGCCUCCCGGAGCUGGCCUCGACGAAUGUUGCCGUCAUUGAGAAAGAGUAAGUUCCCGAUCUGAAUUUCGAGACAAUUGUGCGUGACUUUUUGAUUUGGAUCCCAGGAUUUGAUUAUUUAGUGAUGUAUCUUUGUUUGAUUAUUGAAAAAGUGAGGCUUUGAUUCUAGAUACACCACGUUCAACUUGUGUGUUGUGUUUGAAUUUUAAUAUUUGUAAUUUGGUUUUAUUAGUUGCAACGACGUGAAAAGAUUAACAACGAGAUUUAUUACCAUGUCCUUCUUCACAUGUAAUGCCUUCUGCUUCUCCAUGAGAUAUUGGUGCACCUUCUCUUGUUCCAAUUCGGGCUUCUAGAUCAUCUAUCAGAUCCUCAAGCUCUAGGUAUGGUGGAAGAUCCAAUCAACCUACAUAUUCUAUGGAAGGUGAUCUGAAAAAUGAGAUAUGGAUUAUGUACAAGGAGUCUACAUCAUUUGGUUCAAUAAAAUGAAGAACUAAAGAGUUUUGUGGAGAGUUUAAUAGUGGUUUGAAUGAUGAUUUGGUGUUGGGAGAUCCUCCUGCGCCAAGGUUUGUGUUGUGGAAUGCAUAAAUUGAUUGAAGAGAUUUCUAGAAGGCAAGGAGAGUUUAGAUGAUAGAACUAGGUGUAAUACUUUUUGCUUGAUUUGGGUAGAUGCAAAAAGGCAUUGACUGGAAAGAAGAGCUUGAUCAAGAACUGGAAAGAAAGCGCACAAGUCAAGUCUGCACGUACUUGUGGAUUAAGAUUUCACAUGACUUAUGUUUUUGUAUUUCAUUUCUGUAUUUUGUUGUGUUGUGGAUUAAGAACAAAUGACUUCAUAUUUUUGUAAACCAAAAAAAUAUUUAGAUUAUAUUUAUGUUCAAUUGGUUUUGUAGGUA